rnacentral:tRNA from 1 species
UAUUGAAUGGCCGAAAGAAAGCAAUGGUCUCUUAAACCAAUUUAUAGUACUCGAAUACUUUCAAUAA